rnacentral:misc_RNA from 1 species
UGAUAAAUAAAUCAAACAACCAUGGUAUAAUUGUCUUGUGCUGCGCUUGCUCGCGCCCCGCACGGAUGCAGGGCAGUCGCUCACGCCGCGGUGCCACAUGUAUCAUAUCGCGUUUGUAAUGAUCCUUCCGCAGGUUCACCUACGGAAA